ACGGCAGUACGCAUGCGCGACAUCAUGGGCGGUAGUACGCAUGCGCGAGCUCCGAGAUGGCAAUACGCAUGCGCGAGUUUCGAGAUGGCUGUACGCAUGCGCGAGACGCGAGACGGUAGUGCGCACGUGCGAGGUUCGAGAGGGCAGUACGCAUGCGCGAGUUUCGAGAUGGCAGUACGCAUGCGCGAGACGCGAGCCGGUAGUACGCAUGCGCGACAUUACGGACGGCAGUUCGCAUGCGCGACAUUAUGGACGGCAGUACGCAUGCGCGAGCGACGAGCAGGCAGCACGCAUGCGCGACAUUACGGACGAUAGUACGCAUGCGCGAGGUUCGAGACGGCAGUACGCACGCGCGACAUUAUGGACGGCAGUACGCAUGCGCGAGCGUCGAGCCGGCAGUACGCAAGCGCGGCAUUACGGACAGCAGUACGCAUGCGCAAGCUUCUAUACUGUAGUACGCAUGCGCGAGUCCCGAAACGGCAGUACGCUUGCGCGACAUUAUGGACGGCAGUACGCAUGCGCGAGCCCCGUGACGGAAGUACGCAUGCGCGAGAUUACGGCCGGCAGUACGCAUGCGCGAAAUGAUGUACAACUGUACGCAUGCGCGACAUUACUGACAGCAGUACGCAUGUGCGAGCCCCGAGACGGCAAUACGCAUGCGCAAGCCGCGAGAUGGCAGUACGCAUGCGCGAGCCGCGAGAACGCAGUACGCAUGCGCGAGAUUCCAGACUGCAGUGCGCAUGCGCGCCAUUACGGACUGCAGUACGCAUGCGCGAGCAUUGAAACGGCAAUACGCAUGCGCGACAUUAUAGACAGGAGUACGCAUGCGCAAGAUCCGAGACGGCAAUACGCAUGCGCGAGCCGCGGGACGGCAGUACGCAUGCGCGAGUCCCGAAACGGCAGUACGCAUGCGCGACAUCAUGGACGGUAGUACGCAUGCGCGAGUUUCGAGACGGUAGUACGCAUGCGCGAGACGCGAGACGGUAGUGCGCAUGCGCGAGGUUCGAGACGGCAGUACGCAUGCGCGACAUUAAGGACGGCAGUACGCAUGCGCCACAUUAUGGACAGUAGUACGCAUGUGUGACAUUAUGGACGGUAGUACGCAUGCGCGAGCCGCGAGACGGCAGUACGCAUGCGCGAGCCGCGAGACGGUAGUACGCAUGCGCGACAACAUAGACAGCAGUACGCAUGCGCGAGCUUCGAGACGGUAGUACACAUGCGCGACAUUAUGGACGGCUGUACGCAUGCGCGAGCCGGGAGACGGCAAUACGCAUGCCUGGCCACCGAGAAGGCAGUACGCAUGCGCGAGUUUCGAGACGGCAGUACGCAUGCGCGACAUUAUGGACAGCAGUACGCAUGCGCGAGCCGCGACACGACAGUACGCAUGCACGGCCACCGAGAUGGCAGUACGCAUGAGCCAGCCGGCAGACGGCAGUACGCAUGCGCGACAUUAUAGACGGCAGUACGCAUGCGCGACGUUAUAGAGGCAGUACGCAUGCGAGAGCUUCGAGCCGGCAGUACGCAUGCGCGGCAUUAUGGACAGCAGUACCCAUGCGCGAACUGAGAGGGAGAGAGGGCAAUACGCAUGCGCGACAUUAUAGACGGCAGUACGCAUGCGCGGAGUUCGAGACGGCAGUACGCAUGCGCGUGACUCGAGCCGGCAGUACGCAUGCGAGAGGUGGCAGCAGAUACCGUGGAAACAACUCCGCCGCCGCCUUUUAGCGGACUGCCUGGGACUGUGGGCGCGCAUCCCCUUCUCUCUUUCUUUUCUUGGCACAGGAAGGUGGGGGGAAGAAGGGGAGACGACAAAGAAAAGCAAGGAAAACUCCGACAAACCCUCCAACCCCGUGCUAAAUGCUUUGCUAUACCUGUAAAUAAAUGAAUACAUAACCAGCAA